ensembl:lncRNA novel transcript
UUUUUUUUUUUUUUUCCUUUUUUGAGACACCGUCUCGUUCUAUCACCCAGGCUGGAGUGCAGUGGCACAAUCUCAGCUCACUGCAAGCUCUGCUUCCUGGGUUCAUGCCAUCCUCCUGCCUCAGCCUCCUGAGUAGCUGGGAGUAUAGGCACCUGCCACCAUGCCCGGCUAAUUUUUUGUGUUUUUUAGUAGAGACAGGUGGCAGAAGGACAGACAGCAGGUGAACAUCAGGCAGUAUACGGAGAGGAAGAGAGAGAGACACACACAGAGAGAGCCACAUAAGGAGAAGAGGAGGAGGAGGAAUAAGAGGAGAGGGAGGAGGAAAAGGAAGGCGGAGGGGAGAAGGAAGGAGGGAAAGGAGAGAAACAGAAUAAGAGAUAGGAAAAAGAGAGAGUGACACAAGAAGAGAGGAAGAAAGAAUGAAGGAGACAAAUAAGGUAUCUUUAGAGGGAGAUGAAAAGAAAGAAGGAGAGAGAGAGAGAUUGGGGAGCAAUCAGAUUCAAAUAGAUGGAGAUAGGAGGUUAAGCAAGAUGGAAGAAAGCCAAAAAA